rnacentral:rRNA from 3 species
AAAUUGAAGAGUUUGAUCAUGGCUCAGAUUGAACGCUGGCGGCAGGCCUAACACAUGCAAGUCGAACGGUAACAGGAAGCAGCUUGCUGCUUCGCUGACGAGUGGCGGACGGGUGAGUAAUGUCUGGGAAACUGCCUGAUGGAGGGGGAUAACUACUGGAAACGGUAGCUAAUACCGCAUAACGUCGCAAGACCAAAGAGGGGGACC